UAGGGAAUAUUGCAAAAUGGGCGAAAGCCCGAUGCAGCAACGCCGCGUGGGCGAUGAAGGCCUUCGGGUCGUAAAGCCCUUUUUGAGGGGAUGAGGAAGGACAGUACCCUCAGAAUAAGCCUCGGCUAACUACGUGCCAGCAGCCGCGGUAAAACGUAGGAGGCGAGCGUUAUCCGGAUUUACUGGGCGUAAAGCGCGUGCAGGCGGAUUGGAGAGUUGGAUGUGAAAGCUCCCGGCUUAACUGGGAGAGGUCGUUCAAUACUUCCAGUCUUGAGUGCAGUAGAGGGAAAUGGAAUUCCGGGUGUAGUGGUGAAAUGCGUAGAUAUCCGGAGGAACACCAGUGGCGAAAGCGGCUUCCUGGACUGUAACUGACGCUCAGACGCGAAAGCUAGGGUAGCAAACG
rnacentral:rRNA from 1 species